rnacentral:rRNA from 1 species
GAUGAACGCUGGCGGCGUGCUUAACACAUGCAAGUCGAACGAAGAAGAGUUGAAUGAGAGCUUCGGCAGGAUUUCUUCUCAUCUUAGUGGCGGACGGGUGAGUAACGUGUGGGCAACCUGCCCUAUACUGGGGAAUAAUCACUGGAAACGGUGACUAAUACCGCAUGUCAUCACCGGAGGGCAUCCUCUGGUGAGAAAAGGAGCAAUUCGGUAUAGGAUGGGCCCGCAUCUGAUUAGCUAGUUGGUGAGAUAACAGCCCACCAAGGCGACGAUCGGUAGCCGGACUGAGAGGUUGAACGGCCACAUUGGGACUGAGACACGGCCCAG